rnacentral:lncRNA from 1 species
GCUGAAUUCUUCUUCCCAAUUAUAGUCUAAUGGUUCCAUCAUCCUUUCCAUCAUUCAUGCAUUCAUCCAGCCAGUGAUAUUUAUUGAGCACCUACUAUGUGUCUGUCGUAGGGGACCCAAGGAGAAUAUGUAAACAAAAGGGAAUAUGGAUUCCCUGCCCUCGCGGAACGGACAUUCUAGUAAGCGAGACAGACAAGAAACAAGAUUAAACAAGUAAAAUUAUGCAGACAGAGGAAAGAAGAUAGAAGAGGAGGGAAAAGAAGGGGAAGUGGAAUGUCAUUUACAGAAGCCCUAGACUACAAUAAACACAGUUUGCACCCCACCCUCCAAAGUUGCAGAACAGAGAAUGACAUUUGUCUUGCUGGAGGUUUACUUGAACAUGGUGACCUGACCUACCCAGACAGCUGCAACAAAGGAUUCUUGACAUCAGGAAGUUUGCAGCAACCAACCACACCUCCUCCCCUUUCCGUAUCAAAGAAGCCUGAAUUCUAACUCAGGGAAGAUGGUUCUUUGGGAUAUUAGCCCACCAUCUUCUCAGUUUGCUGGCUUUCCAAAUAAAGUCGAUAUUGCUUGCCCCAACUUGUUUCUUCAUUUAUUGGCCUGUUGUGCAGCAAGCAGUAGGAGCUUGGAUUCAGUAACACCUCUGUACAGUGGAAUAUUAUUCAGUCAUUAAAAAUAACGGUUCCCUGAUGGCUCAGACUAUAAAGAAUCUGCUUGAAAUGUGGGAGAAUCGGGUUCAAUCCCUGGAUCAGAAAGAUCUGAUGGAGAGGGGAAUAGCAACCCACUCCAGUAUCCUUGCCUGGGGAAUUCCAUGGACAGAGGAGCCUGGAGGGGUACAGUCCAUGGGACCUCAAAGAGUCAGACACAACUGAGUGAUUAACACACACAUCAAAAAUAAAGAAGCACUGAGACAUACUACAACAUGGCUGAACCUCAAAAACAUUACGCUGAGUGAAGGAAGCCAGACACAAAGUGUCACGUAGUGUAUGAUUCCCUUCAUAUGAAACAUCCAGAAUAGGCAAAGCCACAGAGACAGAGAGUAGAUUGGCAGUUUCCAGGAGCAGGGGGAUGGGGAGACAGGGGCUGCCUGCUAGUGAGUAUAGGGCUGCAUUUUGAGGUGAUGGAAAUGUCCUAAAAUAAGAUAGAAAAGUGGCACGAUACUGUGAAUGUACUAAAUGCUCUGAAUUGUUCUCUUUCAAAGGGUUAGAGACUUCCCUGGUGGUCCAGUGGUUAAAACUUUGCCUUCCAGGGCAGGGGGUUCAAACCAGCCAGGUUCAAUCCCCAGCUGGUCAGGGAGCUGAAAUCCCACGUGCCUUAACGGCCAAAAACCAAACAGAAACCCCCAUAAAACAGAAGCAAUAUUGUAACAAACUCAAUAAAGACUUUAAAAAUGAUCCACAUCAAAAGAAUCUUUAGGAACUUCCCUGGUGGUCCAGCGGCUAAGGCUCCAGAGUCCCAGUGCAGAGGGCCUGAAGUUCAAUCCCCUGGUCAGGGAAUUGGAUCCCACAUGCCACAACUAAGACCUGGCAGAGCCAGGAAAAAAAAACUGUAAAUAAAUAAAAAGAUUAAUUUCAUGUGAAAGGAAUUUCCCACAAAUUUUUUUUAACGCAGUGCAAGAGUGAGGAGAAAAUAAAC